rnacentral:rRNA from 1 species
GCUGUUAGGAGACUAUGUCUUUUAGUGGCGCAGCUAACGUUUUAAGUUGUCCGCCUGGGGAGUACGGCCGCAAGGCUAAAACUCAAAUGAAUUGACGGGGACCCGCACAAGCAGUGGAUCAUGUGGUUUAAUUCGAUGCAACGCGAAAAACCUUACCUACUCUUGACAUACUUGGAAGCUCUUGUAAUGAGAGUGUGCUUUUAAGAACCAAGAUACAGGUGCUGCAUGGCUGUCGUCAGCUCGUGUCGUGAGAUGUUCCGUUAAGUCGGAUAACGAGCGCAACCCUUACCCUUAUUUGCCAGCGAUUCGGUCGGGAACUAUAAGGGGACUGCCGGUGAUAAACCGGAGGAAGGUGAGGACGACGUCAAGUCAUCAUGGCCCUUACGAGUAGGGCUACACACGUGAUACAAUGGGAGAGACAGACGGACGCUAAGCCGCGAGGUGGUGCUAAUCCUAGAAACUCUCUCGUAGUCCGGAUUGGAGUCUGCAACUCGACUCCAUGAAGUUGGAAUUGCUAGUAAUCGCGGAUCAGCAUGCCGCGGUGAAUACGUUCUCGGGUCUUGUACACACCGCCCGUCACACCAUGGAAGUGGAUUGCACCAGAAGUAGAUAGUCUAACCUUAGGGAGGGCGUUUACCACGGUGUGCUUCAUGACUGGGGUG